UCCGGUUUAUCACCAGCAGUCUCGUUAGAGUCCCGUCCUUUCGGACCUGGCAACUAACAACAAGGGUUGCGCUCGUUACGGGACUUAACCCAACAUCUCACAACACGAGCUGACGACAGCCAUGCAGCACCUGUCUCUUCGUUCCUUUCGGCACAACCGUAUCUCUACAGCCUUCGAAGGAUGUCAAGGGUAGGUAAGGUUUUUCGCGUUGCAUCGAAUUAAACCACAUGCUCCACCGCUUGUGCGGGCCCCCGUCAAUUCCUUUGAGUUUUAACCUUGCGGCCGUAUUCCCCAGGCGGAGUACUUAUCGCGUUUGCUUCGACACCCAACUGUCUUUCCAGUCAAGCGUCUAGUACUCAUCGUUUACAGCGUGGACUAC
rnacentral:misc_RNA from 1 species